rnacentral:lncRNA from 10 species
GGCGGAGCGCCGGGGCGGGCGUGCGCUGACGUGGCGAGCGGCUCCCUCCACCCGCUCCUCCCGCGGGCACUGCCGAGGCCCAUGGGCGGGAAGCCGGGCGGCGGGCGGGACGUGGCCUCGGUCCCGGCCCUGCCCCGCCCCGCCGCCACUGAGACUCCCAGCGCCACCAACGUCGGAGUUGCAGUUUCUUUAGCUGUCAUAUGCAGACAAGUACUACCCACCUCGCCUUUGGAGUGAGCAGCACAAAACUGUAGCCCAGGGCAUUGAAAACCUCUCGGAGAGGGCCAGGUGUGACCAGGUACUGGGGAAAAAAUAAGAAGCUGCCAUCAGUUGAGAAGAUGGCCCUGGCAACUGGCUAUCAACUGAAAAUCCUGCAAAAGGAUAUUUCUCCUGUGAAGCAGCCCUGUGCCCAUCCUGCUGUGAUUCAGGAGUCUCGCAGAAGACAUCAGAAUGCCUUUCUCUGAGUCACAGUCUGUAUCUUCUAGAAAAGGCUGUCCAUCUUCACCCCAAGCCCACUGGCUCCUGAGAUACGACAUCCAGACCCAGUGCAGCUGGACCUGGCCCAGGAAGAUCAUGCGGUUUCUGGGAAGCACUGGAGAAGGAAAAGGCUGAAGAAAGGAAGACCGGAAAAGAAAUACAAGUCCUUCCGCCUUGGCAAAGAUGAUAGUACCGUUCCCUUCAGUGUUCCGGUUCUGCUCUAUUGGAUAAGUUCCGGUUUGACUAUGACUACGUGAAAAUGUGGAACCAGACCUUCACCCCACAUUCCAGCUCCAGCUCUACCACAGAGGAAGUGCAAUAUCACCUUAGUUAUUCAACACAUUAUGCUCCUCGUGAUACAACCAGAGUUCACAUCAGCAAUCUUGGCAGCUCUCACCACGCUGCUGACUCACGACUCUCUCAUGUCCCAAUUUCCUGUCCAUUGUUCUUUCCUCUACUUGGCCUGAUUUCUAAAGGCCUCUCUUGGUUGCAUUAAGCGGGAUUCCUGAGGGAUUCCCUUGGCAGUUACCUUGGGGGAGCUCUUAGGUUUGGGGCUGAUCCAUGUCCUCUAAAUGUAGGACUUCAAAGCUCCCAAAGAUAGGCAGGCCCAGUGGGAAGCUGGGAAAUGCUCUCUGACCCCUCUGGGAGGGCUGGCAGUCAGAGGGCCUUUUGGAAAGAGUCAGACCUGAUCCAUAAGUCCCUGGAAAACACCCUGCCCAGGGAGCAAAUGCCACUGUGGCCUUGACUGAGGCUUCAGAAGAGUUUGGGAGCUGCAAUUCAUCCACACACGCAUUCAUUUUCAAGUAGUGGUUUGCAGUUCAGGCUUUGGAGCCACAUAAGCCUGGCUUCAAAGCCACUUUCCAGCUUUGUAGGAAGUCUCUACAUUUUUAAACCUCCAUUUUUUUUUCCUGUAAAACUGGGGUCUUCAUGGUACUUAACUUCAUCGUGAUGUUGAGAGAAUGAAAAGAAAAAGGAUAAAUAAAUGGCUUAGCCUCGUGCCUUGGCACAUAUUGUG